CUAUGCAAAUAAGGCCCAGGGUAUAUAAAGGUCUUCUUCAGAAGCCCCCAUCAGAUGCGGAUCUUGGAGGGCGUCCGUUGCAACUCAGAAUGGUCCCCACUCGCCAAAGUCUGCUGCGGAGCGAAACCGUCCCAUUGAGGUUCCAGGCUGGAUAUCAUCAUAUACUGUAAGUUGGAAUGAGACACUACAGUAUAGAUGAUGUACUACCUUGAACUCCUGGAGCCGCCGAGAUCCCAAAGCAACCUUUUUGUUGUCCUCAACGCUCCCCACCGGAGCUGAGGUUGGGCUGAGCCCAGCUUGGUUGGGGUGGGUGGGUAGAAACUGAUUAUUUUAAAAGCGCAGAGCCCAGCUUUAUUCUUAAGGCCUUUCCACCGGUGGUCUUCACCCCACCAGAGUGACUGUGAAAUAUGGGACCUUCUCUGUCUCUCCCCUCCCCUUUAACUCUAGGUAUUUCAUAGCAGUGCAGUUCACCUAUGGAACUCCUUCCCACAAGAGGAAGUGAUGGCUACCAGCUUGGAUGGCUUUAAAAGAAUAGACAAAUUCACAGAGGGCUAUUAAUGGCUACUAGCUGCAAUAGCUGCACUCUGCCUCCAUAGCUGGAGACAGUGAGGCCUCUGAAUACUGGUUGUUGGAAACCACAAGAAGGGAAAGGGCUCUUUGGUCCUGCUUUCAUGUUUCCCAUAAUAGGAUCUGUUAGGCCCAUGAGAACAGGAUGCUGAGCUAGAUGGGCCAUUGGUCUGAUCCAGCAGAGCUCUUCUGACCUUCUUCUACGUCCCUCCAGAUGUUGCUAGAUUCAGCCCCCUUCUGCCCUGAUCCUUGCAACAUCUGGAGGACAACAGGGUCCCUAUCCCCAACAGUAAUGAGGCACCCUUCUUUAGUCUUCCAUUGGACCACAGGAAAUAUAUCUAAGAAGCUGACUUAUUGGCAGCUCAGACUGCGUGUCUUUUCUAGCCCAAGAUUUUUCACCUGCCUUAGCAGCAGUUCUUCAGAAACAAGAUUUUCCUGUCAUCCUUUUUGGAAAAAAGCUAGAACCAGCUUAGAGUUUGUUUUACCGGCGUGGGGGUGGGUGCGUGCAACAUUGACUGGACAAGAAGAAGAAAAUGCAUUCCUGCUCAGAAGACAAAUCUUGCGGGGUGUCAGCAAAACCGUUACCAUUACUGAGUUUAGUAAUGGUAAUGGUUCUUCUGCCAUCUUGCCCACCAUCUGACUCCACAGAAGCAGGAAUUUCAGCUUCAUCUGAUGAAAGGGGGCUCCUUUUCACAUCGGCCUAUAUCAGGCCACUUGCUUCUCGCUCCUGUAAGAAAUAAAAAAAGUUCUAGAA